UACGUAGGGGGCAAGCGUUGUCCGGAAUCAUUGGGCGUAAAGAGCGCGUAGGCGGCCAGAAAAGUCCGCUGUGAAAACUCGAGGCUCAACUUCGAGCUGUCGGUGGAAACUUUCUGGCUAGAGUCCGGAAGAGGAGAAUGGAAUUCCUGGUGUAGCGGUGAAAUGCGCAGAUAUCAGGAAGAACACCAAUGGCGAAGGCAGCUCGCUGGGACGGUACUGACACUGAGACGCGAAAGCGUGGGGAGCAAACAGG
rnacentral:rRNA from 1 species